UACGAAGGGGGCUAGCGUUGCUCGGAAUCACUGGGCGUAAAGGGUGCGUAGGCGGGUCUUUAAGUCAGGGGUGAAAUCCUGGAGCUCAACUCCAGAACUGCCUUUGAUACUGAAGAUCUUGAGUUCGGGAGAGGUGAGUGGAACUGCGAGUGUAGAGGUGAAAUUCGUAGAUAUUCGCAAGAACACCGGUGGCGAAGGCGGCAUCCUGGACCAACAUUGACGCUGAGGAGCGAAAGCUAGGGGAGCAAACGGG
rnacentral:rRNA from 1 species